GAGUGUAUAGCUCAGUGGUAGAGUGCCUGCUUAGCAUGCAUAAGGUUCUGGGUUCAAUCCCCAGUACCUCCA
rnacentral:tRNA from 1 species